rnacentral:rRNA from 1 species
UACAGAGGGUGCUAGCGUUGUUCGGAAUUAUUGGGCGUAAAGCGCGUGUAGGCGGCCUUGUAAGUUGGGUGUGAAAGCCCUCGGCUUAACCGAGGAAGUGCGCCCAAAACUGCUCGGCUUGAGUGCCGGAGAGGGUGGCGGGAUUCCCGGUGUAGAGGUGAAAUUCGAAGAUAUCGGGAGGAACACCAGUGGCGAAGGCGGCCACCUGGACGGUUACUGACGCUGAGACGCGAAAGCGUGGGGAG